AACGAACGCUGGCGGCAGGCCUAACACAUGCAAGUCGAGCGAGGACUUCGGUUCUAGCGGCGGACGGGUGAGUUACGCGAGGGAAUGUGCCCUUCUCUACGGACUAGCCCUGGGAAACUGGGAGUAAUACCGUAUACGCCCUAUUGGGGAAAGAUUUAUCGGAGAAGGAUCAGCCCGCGUUGGAUUAGGUAGUUGGUGGGGUAAUGGCCUACCAAGCCGACGAUCCAUAGCUGGUUUGAGAGGAUGAUCAGCCACACUGGGACUGAGACACGGCCCAGACUCCUACGGGAGGCAGCAGUAGGGAAUCUUAGACAAUGGGGGCAACCCUGAUCUAGCCAUGCCGCGUGAGUGAUGAAGGCCUUAGGAUUGUAAAGCUAUUUCAGCUGGGAAGAUAAUGACGGUACCAGCAGAAGAAGCCCCGGCUAACUCCGUG
rnacentral:rRNA from 1 species